rnacentral:rRNA from 1 species
CGUGAGGCGGAGCUAAUCCCUUAAAGCCAUUCUCAGUUCGGAUUGUAGGCUGAAACUCGCCUACAUGAAGCUGGAGUUACUAGUAAUCGCAGAUCAGAAUGCUGCGGUGAAUGCGUUCCCGGGUCUUGUACACACCGCCCGUCACACCACGGAAGUUGGGGGCGCCCGAAGCCACUUAGCUAACCCUUUUGGGAAGCGAGUGUCGAAGGUGAAAUCAAUAACUGGGGUGAAGUCGUAACAAGGUAGC